UCCAGACAAAGCUGAAGAAGCCAGCAACCUGAAAACACCAAUGGGCACAGACAGAAGAACCUGCUCGCUCCAGCCAGAGACGUAUGAGGACUUGUAGGUCUGAAGAUUUGAGUGGAUAAAAUUCCAUCAUAAAAAUAAGAUGAAAAAGGGAGCUUCAGGAAAGCUGUCUUCUCUAGGUCACAUAAAGCUGGACUCAAAACUUUUUGCCUCUACAAUUUUUCUUCACAAUACUGGGAUGACACCAAAAGGACUUAGGGAAAAGAAAAGGGCACCCACCCACCACAGAUAGCCAUGAGCUUUACAGUGCCCAUCUCAUGCCUUCAAAAGAAUCACUUAUUUCAUCAGGCA
rnacentral:lncRNA from 1 species